rnacentral:tRNA from 1 species
GCCCGCAUGGAUGCUGGAAAUCGACUGGGACUCAAAAUCCCCCGCCGCAAGGCGUGCCGGUUCGAUUCCGGCCCCGGGCACCA